rnacentral:lncRNA from 1 species
CAUUCCACUCCAUUAGAUGUCCCGAUCGAGCUUCAACCGUCAGGCCCAAACUCCUUGGCAAGUCACGAUAAUGGCCACUACCCUACUCCACUCUCUGUAACGGAUUUCAUGUGGCUCCACCACUCUCUGGCAAGUCAUGACAAUGGAUACCACUUCACUCUCCAUAACAAACUCUAUAUGGCCCUGAACGGCCCUCUGACGCCACUACUCUACGUAACAAACUCCGUUUGGCCCCGAACGUCCCACUACCAGGAAGUUACAGACGUCACUGUCAAUCAGUUACACUCUCCGUCUAUAAAAAGGGACUCCAGAUACGUUCUUCUCUAAGCUCUAAACUCCAUCCCGAAACUCUGCUAAAAUCCUAUUUGAGUGCUCCAUUUCUGUUGAGGCAGAGUACUAACUUGAGCGUCUGAGGGUCUUGCCGGAGCACCCC